UUAAAUUGAAGAGUUUGAUCAUGGCUCAGAUUGAACGCUGGCGGUAGGCCUAACACAUGCAAGUCGAACGGUAACAGGAAGCAGCUUGCUGCUUUGCUGACGAGUGGCGGACGGGUGAGUAAUGUCUGGGAAACUGCC
rnacentral:rRNA from 1 species